UUUUUUUUUUUUUUUUUUUUUUUUGAGGUCAAACAAAACUAACAAUAAUCAACAUUGAUCUCAAACACUGUAUACAAAAAAAAAAUCCAACAAUUACACAUAAUAUUAACCUUAAAGCACAUAAUUAAGCUUAAAUUAGAAGCAUAUCUAUAUAUGGGUAAUUAAAUAUUUAUAGCUUCAUUUACCAUAAUCACACAGAAGAUUGUGAAACCUUGGAAACCACCAACUUACCAUCCUGAUUCAGAGCCCACCGCCACCAAUAUGUCUCAUUUCACCACUUACUGGCAUCCCACCAACCCCCUGGUAAGAAGGAGGUGCCUGCAUUACACCUCCCUGCG
rnacentral:misc_RNA from 1 species